GAUGAACGCUGGCGGCGUGCCUAAUACAUGCAAGUCGAGCGAACGGACGAGAAGCUUGCUUCUCUGAUAUUAGCGGCGGACGGGUGAGUAACACGUGGAUAACCUACCUAUAAGACUGGGAUAACUUCGGGAAACCGUAGCUAAUACCGGAUAAUAUUUUGAACCGCAUGGUUCAAAAGUGAAAGACGGUCUUGCUGUCACUUAUAGAUGGAUCCGCGCUGCAUUAGCUAGUUGGUAAGGUAACGGCUUACCAAGGCAACGAUGCAUAGCCGACCUGAGAGGGUGAUCGGCCACACUGGAACUGAGACACGGUCCAGACUCCUACGGGAGGCAGCAGUAGGGAAUCUUCCGCAAUGGGCGAAAGCCUGACGGAGCAACGCCGCGUGAGUGAUGAAGGUCUUCGGAUCGUAAAACUCUGUUAUUAGGGAAGAACAUAUGUGUAAGUAACUGUGCACAUCUUGACGGUACCUAAUCAGAAAGCCACGGCUAACUACGUG
rnacentral:rRNA from 1 species